rnacentral:pre_miRNA from 1 species
GGGGGGGGGCUGGAUCCUGGGCUGUGUCCCGGCGCCCUGUGCUCCGGGGCCUGCCCUGUUGGAUUCGCGCUCCCGGGCCACGCAGCCUUCU